rnacentral:rRNA from 1 species
GGUUAAGCGACUAAGCGUACACGGUGGAUGCCCUGGCAGUCAGAGGCGAUGAAGGACGUGCUAAUCUGCGAUAAGCGUCGGUAAGGUGAUAUGAACCGUUAUAACCGGCGAUUUCCGAAUGGGGAAACCCAGUGUGAUUCGUCACACUAUCAUUAACUGAAUCCAUAGGUUAAUGAGGCGAACCGGGGGAACUGAAACAUCUAAGUACCCCGAGGAAAAGAAAUCAACCGAGAUUCCCCCAGUAGCGGCGAGCGAACGGGGAGGAGCCCAGAGCCUGAAUCAGUGUGUGUGUUAGUGGAAGCGUCUGGAAAGGCGCGCGAUACAGGGUGACAGCCCCGUACACAAAAAUGCACAUGCUGUGAGCUCGAUGAGUAGGGCGGGACACGUGGUAUCCUGUCUGAAUAUGGGGGGACCAUCCUCCAAGGCUAAAUACUCCUGACUGACCGAUAGUGAACCAGUACCGUGAGGGAAAGGCGAAAAGAACCCCGGCGAGGGGAGUGAAAAAGAACCUGAAACCGUGUACGUACAAGCAGUGGGAGCACGCUUCGGCGUGUGACUGCGUACCUUUUGUAUAAUGGGUCAGCGACUUAUAUUCUGUAGCAAGGUUAACCGAAUAGGGGAGCCGAAGGGAAACCGAGUCUUAACUGGGCGUUAAGUUGCAGGGUAUAGACCCGAAACCCGGUGAUCUAGCCAUGGGCAGGUUGAAGGUUGGGUAACACUAACUGGAGGACCGAACCGACUAAUGUUGAAAAAUUAGCGGAUGACUUGUGGCUGGGGGUGAAAGGCCAAUCAAACCGGGAGAUAGCUGGUUCUCCCCGAAAGCUAUUUAGGUAGCGCCUCGUGAAUUCAUCUCCGGGGGUAGAGCACUGUUUCGGCAAGGGGGUCAUCCCGACUUACCAACCCGAUGCAAACUGCGAAUACCGGAGAAUGUUAUCACGGGAGACACACGGCGGGUGCUAACGUCCGUCGUGAAGAGGGAAACAACCCAGACCGCCAGCUAAGGUCCCAAAGUCAUGGUUAAGUGGGAAACGAUGUGGGAAGGCCCAGACAGCCAGGAUGUUGGCUUAGAAGCAGCCAUCAUUUAAAGAAAGCGUAAUAGCUCACUGGUCGAGUCGGCCUGCGCGGAAGAUGUAACGGGGCUAAACCAUGCACCGAAGCUGCGGCAGCGACACUAUGUGUUGUUGGGUAGGGGAGCGUUCUGUAAGCCUGUGAAGGUGUACUGUGAGGUAUGCUGGAGGUAUCAGAAGUGCGAAUGCUGACAUAAGUAACGAUAAAGCGGGUGAAAAGCCCGCUCGCCGGAAGACCAAGGGUUCCUGUCCAACGUUAAUCGGGGCAGGGUGAGUCGACCCCUAAGGCGAGGCCGAAAGGCGUAGUCGAUGGGAAACAGGUUAAUAUUCCUGUACUUGGUGUUACUGCGAAGGGGGGACGGAGAAGGCUAUGUUGGCCGGGCGACGGUUGUCCCGGUUUAAGCGUGUAGGCUGGUUUUCCAGGCAAAUCCGGAAAAUCAAGGCUGAGGCGUGAUGACGAGGCACUACGGUGCUGAAGCAACAAAUGCCCUGCUUCCAGGAAAAGCCUCUAAGCAUCAGGUAACAUCAAAUCGUACCCCAAACCGACACAGGUGGUCAGGUAGAGAAUACCAAGGCGCUUGAGAGAACUCGGGUGAAGGAACUAGGCAAAAUGGUGCCGUAACUUCGGGAGAAGGCACGCUGAUAUGUAGGUGAAGCGACUUGCUCGUGGAGCUGAAAUCAGUCGAAGAUACCAGCUGGCUGCAACUGUUUAUUAAAAACACAGCACUGUGCAAACACGAAAGUGGACGUAUACGGUGUGACGCCUGCCCGGUGCCGGAAGGUUAAUUGAUGGGGUUAGCGGCAACGCGAAGCUCUUGAUCGAAGCCCCGGUAAACGGCGGCCGUAACUAUAACGGUCCUAAGGUAGCGAAAUUCCUUGUCGGGUAAGUUCCGACCUGCACGAAUGGCGUAAUGAUGGCCAGGCUGUCUCCACCCGAGACUCAGUGAAAUUGAACUCGCUGUGAAGAUGCAGUGUACCCGCGGCAAGACGGAAAGACCCCGUGAACCUUUACUAUAGCUUGACACUGAACAUUGAGCCUUGAUGUGUAGGAUAGGUGGGAGGCUUUGAAGUGUGGACGCCAGUCUGCAUGGAGCCGACCUUGAAAUACCACCCUUUAAUGUUUGAUGUUCUAACGUUGGCCCGUGAUCCGGGUUGCGGACAGUGUCUGGUGGGUAGUUUGACUGGGGCGGUCUCCUCCUAAAGAGUAACGGAGGAGCACGAAGGUUGGCUAAUCCUGGUCGGACAUCAGGAGGUUAGUGCAAUGGCAUAAGCCAGCUUGACUGCGAGCGUGACGGCGCGAGCAGGUGCGAAAGCAGGUCAUAGUGAUCCGGUGGUUCUGAAUGGAAGGGCCAUCGCUCAACGGAUAAAAGGUACUCCGGGGAUAACAGGCUGAUACCGCCCAAGAGUUCAUAUCGACGGCGGUGUUUGGCACCUCGAUGUCGGCUCAUCACAUCCUGGGGCUGAAGUAGGUCCCAAGGGUAUGGCUGUUCGCCAUUUAAAGUGGUACGCGAGCUGGGUUUAGAACGUCGUGAGACAGUUCGGUCCCUAUCUGCCGUGGGCGCUGGAGAACUGAGGGGGGCUGCUCCUAGUACGAGAGGACCGGAGUGGACGCAUCACUGGUGUUCGGGUUGUCAUGCCAAUGGCACUGCCCGGUAGCUAAAUGCGGAAGAGAUAAGUGCUGAAAGCAUCUAAGCACGAAACUUGCCCCGAGAUGAGUUCUCCCUGACUCCNNNNNNNNNNUUAACCUU